UACAGAGGGGGCAAGCGUUGUUCGGAAUUACUGGGCGUAAAGGGCGCGUAGGCGGCCUGUUAAGUCGAACGUGAAAUCCCCGGGCUCAACCCGGGAACUGCGUCCGAUACUGGCAGGCUUGAAUUCGGGAGAGGGAUGUGGAAUUCCAGGUGUAGCGGUGAAAUGCGUAGAUAUCUGGAGGAACACCGGUGGCGAAGGCGGCAUCCUGGACCAUUACUGACACUGAAUAGCGAAAGCCAGGGGAGCAAACGGG
rnacentral:rRNA from 1 species